GUGUCAGCAGCCGCGGUAAUACCGGCAGUGGGAGUGAUGGCCGAUCAAAUUGGGGUAUAGCGUCCGUAGCUGGCUGAACAAGUCGGUACCGAAAUCUGUCCGCUUAACGGGCAGGCGUCCAGCGGAAACUGUUCAGCUUGGGACCGGAAGACCUGAGGGGUACGUCUGGGGUAGGAGUGAAAUCCUGUAAUCCUGGACCGACCGCCGGUGGCGAAAGCGCCUCAGGAGAACGGAUCCGACAGUGAGGGACGAAAGCUAGGGUCUCGAACCGGAUUAGAAACCCCCGUAGUCC
rnacentral:rRNA from 1 species